rnacentral:rRNA from 1 species
AUUGAACGCUGGCGGCAGGCCUAACACAUGCAAGUCGAGCGGUUGAAGGGAGCUUGCUCCUGGAUUCAUCGGCGGACGGGUGAGUAAUGCCUAUGAAUCUGCCUGGUAGUGGGGGAUAACGUCCGGAAACGGGCGCUAAUACCGCAUACGUCCUGAGGCAGAAAGUGGGGGAUCUUCGGACCUCACGCGAUCAGAUGAGCCUAGGUCGGAUUAGCUAGUUGGUGGGGUAAAGGCCUACCAAGGCGACGAUCCGUAACUGGCCUGUAAGGAUGAUCAGUCACACUGGAACUGAGCAACGGUAAAGACUCCUAAGGAAGGCAGCAGCCGGGAAUUUUGGACAAUGGGCGAAAGCCUGAUCCAGCAAUGCCGCGUGUGUGAAAGAGGUCUUCGGAUUGUAAAGCACUUUAAGUGGGGAGGAAGGGCAGUAAGUUAAUACCUUGCUGUGUUGGCGGUACCAAAAGAAAACGCCCCGGCUAAAUUCGUG